AUAGAAUGCUGAAGACAUACAAAAGACCAGCAGGACACAGAGUUUGGAGUAGGAAUUAUAUUUGAUAUCCUGAAUGGUGUAUGGACAACUUUUCAUCAUUACUUACCAAUCAACCCACCCUCAGCCUGACUGAAACAAAACAUGAAGAAUUCCAGGCAGCUUAUGAAGACAUUCCAAGAAGAUUUUCAUGCUAUUUCAGACUCCUGGCAAGAUUAGGACAAAAUAUUUCUAUAGUAACAAAGAUCCUGCAUUUUAAGGUCGCUUCUGCAUAUUUCAGAGCCCUUUCCCCCUAUCUACAGUGUCUUAGUCAUUACCAAAUUCCAGGCAAGAAAACAAAUGACAUGCUGAAAGCAAAACACACAAGGAUGCUUGCUUGGAGACAGUCAGCACACAGCCAGCUGGACAUGUCAGAGGAUGAAGCUAAAUAAAGAAGGAAAAUAGGGAGAGUCUCAUCUCUUCCUCAAGGCACUGGGAUCUUAACCCACAAUCCCAAUGGGCGCGGGAGACUGCGGGAACUAUGGGAUAGCUAUGGAAUUGCUACCCACAGUGCAACGGUGCAGAAAUCGACGCUAGCCCCGGUACUUGGACGCACACCACCAAAGAAGAGAGGUCCAGAAGUGGAAUAGCAUGGAAAUUUCAAAUUAAGACUCAGGGGCAGGUUUAUAGAACCCGAGAGAGCUAGGAGUCACUCGAGAAGCUUUCAAUGUAUGAUGGGCACCAUCUGUCUUAGAGAUGAACAACUCUGAUUCCUGAAAAGACAAAUCCUCUGCUGUAGACUGAACCUCCUGACAGUAGCCAGACCCCUACAGCCAAGAUGCCCUUCUCAUCAUGACUGCGGUGGCCAUCAAUUGUGAAGUGGUGUCUGCUGCACCCAAAGCAGCCUGAAGGAUGGUUCUGGCAAUCAACUGUCCUUCAUUUACCUUCUUUCCCUUGCAUCUGGAGGCAGUUUGCCCUGAAUGCUGCAAAUUUCUCAUAGUUCAAAUAAUCAUAUCUGGCCAUGAGGGCCUGAUAAUUUGCAACCCUAAAGUGCAAGUAGCCAACUAAUAUGAUUUAUGGCCAAAUAAAUCCAGUGUUUUGUAAUCAGGUUCUUUUGGUGUAGUCUUAUUUUGCAGAUGUGACUUUUCAUCAGCAGUGUCACUACUAAUGACCCAGUUGAAGAAAAUUGUUGAUGCCUGUGACCUAAUGGAGCUGAGGAUGAGGGGGUUUGGGGUGUGGGAAGGGCUCAGAGCUGGGGCAGAGGGUUGGGGUGCAGGAGGGCGUCAGGGCUCUGGUCUGGGGGUGCAGGCUCUGGGGUGGGGCCGGGAUGAGGGGUUUGGAGAGUGUCCUAGAAUAUAGCAUUUACUCCCUUUUUGGCUCCAGAAAAGUCUGGAUUUAAAGGCUUUCAGGGCACAGUGAAAGCCAUAUUGUUUUAUAAUUUGUAUAAUUAUGAAUGUUUAGUAUGUUGAAGGUGUUUUAUAUAGUGGAGAUUCCUCUACUACAUGAUGCAGGCAUGUACAAAUGCUUAGGAUUUUUUAAAUUGAGUACGUUGAUCAUAAACUAUAGCACUGAACAGCAAAUGAAUGUAUAAAUAAAUAAUUACAAUAAGGUAAUUGCAUUGCAUUA